UCUUCUUUUUUUCCGCUUUCGUGAGGCAGAUUUCCAGAUCUUGCAGACCUUGAACAUGUUAGCUUACUUGAAUUUCACUGUUUUGUUCUUUACAUAGUUUCCUGUGGCUCCACAUAUCCAGGUCUCAUCUUUUUGUGCAGGGCAAGAAUCUGAUAUUUUCUUUUCUUUUUGUGCAGGGUGAGAAUCUGAUAUUUUCUGUUUUUACUCUGUAUAGGGGAGUAACUGUUGAUCUACUAAUGGCUGGAUAGAUAAAUGUUGGAGUAUCUUGGAUUCAUCAGCUGAGUAUUAUUGCCUGGAUGACUUAUGGAAGCAAGAGUUAAGAGUUUCAUUUGAUUUGACAGAGUAUUUGGAACAGCAUCCAGAAGCAUCUAACUGGGGGAUUGGGAUCUCUAGUUUUAGAAAAAAUGCCUUGUUUCAAGAUUACCAUGGACUCCAAACUUUCAGGUAGUUGUUUGUACAAUUCAGGAUCCGACUCUCAUAUGAAUAGUUCAGUGCAUUCCUAACCAACAUCAAGGAGCUCAAUGCUCAUCAAGAAACUAGGAU